GACGUAGGGCGCGAGCGUUGUCCGGAUUUAUUGGGCGUAAAGAGCUCGUAGGCGGUUUGUCGCGUCUGCUGUGAAAUCCCGAGGCUCAACCUCGGGCCUGCAGUGGGUACGGGCAGACUGGAGUGCGGUAGGGGAGAAUGGAAUUCCUGGUGUAGCGGUGGAAUGCGCAGAGAUCAGGAGGAACACCGAUGGCGAAGGCAGUUCUCUGGGCCGUAACUGACGCUGAGGAGCGAAAGCGUGGGGAGCGAACAGG
rnacentral:rRNA from 1 species